AGAGUUUGAUCAUGGCUCAGGACGAACGCUGGCGGCGUGCCUAAUACAUGCAAGUCGAGCGAGCUUGCCUAGAUGAUUUUAGUGCUUGCACUAAAUGAAACUAGAUACAAGCGAGCGGCGGACGGGUGAGUAACACGUGGGUAACCUGCCCAAGAGACUGGGAUAACACCUGGAAACAGAUGCUAAUACCGG
rnacentral:rRNA from 1 species